UACAGAGGUCUCAAGCGUUGUUCGGAUUCAUUGGGCGUAAAGGGUGCGUAGGCGGCGCGGUAAGUCGGGUGUGAAAUCUUGGAGCUUAACUCCGAAACUGCAUUCGAUACUGCCGUGCUUGAGGACUGGAGAGGAGACUGGAAUUUACGGUGUAGCGGUGAAAUGCGUAGAGAUGUGGAGGAACACCGAUGGCGAAGGCAGCCCCCUGGGCUGAGAUUGACGCUCAGGCACGAAAGCGUGGGGAGCAAACAGG
rnacentral:rRNA from 1 species